UUUUUUUAAUUAUUAUUAUUUUGGUAAUGAAAAGGACGCUAGAAUUACAAUUCUGAUGCUAACAGUGCUAACACUGAAAGCUGCUGGGCAGAAGUGGGGAGCUCUGGGUAGAAUAAAGGCUUGAACUGAAGUCAGCAAUAACCUCUUUCCCCCCCUUCCCUGUCUCUCAGCCCGCACAAUCUGCUUGGCUCUCUUUAUCUCAAUAAGCAUUUAAACGGUUUCAAAUUAGAUCUCUGGAAAAUGGAACUUCAUUCCUUCAGAACUUCAGUCUGGCCUUUAAAAGCCAGCAAUAAUGUUUUGGUUUUGUAUGAGAGCAUCUUUGAUCUCAGAGGCUCGCAGCUGCGGGAGCGCAGCUCAGCACCAGCAGCUCUCUGCCAUUGGUAUGCAGCUGUAAGGGGAGAGACGCAGGCAGGGGCUCAUCUGGGGAUGGUCAGCCCUGGUCCUGUGCUCAUCCCGAAGCAAAUCUGCCUCCUCUGACACCCUCCUUGGGAACCCAGCACCCCCCCAGUCACAGUAACAGCACAAUAGAGCUGGAUGAGCUGUCACAGUCCCCUGUGAGCAGCAGGCUGGGGGCUGCAGAGUGUUAGGAAUUGGCAAUGAUGGGCUGUAAUGGCCCUUAGCAGCCUCAGCUGUGCCCUCAUUCAUGGGCCUGGGGCUCUAUUUAAGCUCAGACCGGUAGCAUUACAUGGAGCUUUGCUGAUGGUCUGGGUGCUUGGCUGGAGUUUUCUGUAACCUCUGGUUUGCCAUGCUGGAGAGCAGAGGGAUGGGGUCCUGGCUGGUGGGACCCUGCCCUACAGCUGUGGUGUCCUCGCUGUCCCCCAGUGCAAGGAGUGGGAGAAGGACUUUCCCUUUUAAUAGUGGAAAAAAGAGGAAGGGAGAACAGACAGAACGAAGAGGAAGUGAGAAUUCCCACCAGCAGGACAAAGCCUUCAAAACAACUGUAAGCAAAACAAUGGUCCAAAAUAGCGGGGAUGGGAUCUUGUGCAGCUUAUCAAACAUCGCUGCCUUUUUUCCACCCGCUCUGCAUCUCAGUGCCCAUGACCCUGCAGGCAAUUAGAUAACAUGGGUGACUCCAGGGCACAUGUGGAUGAGCAGGGAGCUAGGAAUGCAAACACGCACUGAGCAAAUCCCUCCUGAACUGAGCACUGCCGUGCCACGUACAGGGAAUGGCAGGUGCCACGGCACUGCAGGGCUCGCAUAUUGGAUUAUGCCCAUCUUGUUAUGUUUUAUAGAUUGCUAAACUGUGAUCUGGGAAAGGACCAGCACCAUGGUGUCGCUGCUGGCCACCUCACAAGAGCUCCUGUGUUUGUUGGGAUGCACAGCGCUGUCUUGCAGUGCUGUAGCUGUGCAGCAAGCACAUGGCUGGAGCCGGGAUGCCUUUGUUCAGUUCCUAGCACAGGGAUCUCUUUAAUGCUCUCUAUGACCUUGAGCGAGUAACUUCACCAUGCUUAAAAGUACUUUCCUGCAAACAAGGAAUAUAAACCUCAGUGCAUCAAGAGAGUGGCAGUGCAGUGUGUAAGGGAGUUGGUUUCAGCUUGGCAAAGGGCUUUUACAGUCAUGAACUGCCACACAUCACUGUUCAGCAUCCCGCUGGGAUGAGGGUGCUGGUGCUGCCCCAUUGGGCACAGGCAGGGUACAGCCACUGAGUGGCCUAACAGUGCGCAGAGCUCUGGGUCUUCAGACGUUUUCCACGAGGGAAGCAGGUUCAGCAAAACCUGAUGUAGCGCAGGGUGCUUCUGCUACCCCUCACUUGUUUGCGUUGGUUGGUUGUUUUUUCACUGGCAAUGCUACCUGGGGGAGACUGGGAGGGAACUGAGCUGCGGAGGCUCAUGACAGAGGAUGCAGGCUCACCUUACAGAAAGACACGAGAGAAAAGUGGCAAAACAAAAGCUAAAAGGGCAGUGCAAGGAGAGCGGUGUAUGGAAGCAUCUGAGGGUGUGCACCACAGGAGAUGAUGAGCUACUUAAAUUGUUGGCACAAGCCCAUCAGGGCGUUCGUUUCCUGCGAUGAUGCACAGGCUGGAAAGAAAAAGUAGCUUUUAAGCAGCAGAGGAGUAAGGGCCUGGAAGAGCUUCUCAGCAGGAGCCCAGUGUGCUGAGAAUACACAAACUGUUCUCAGGCAGCGCUCAAACCCCUUCAGUGGGGUUUUACACUAUGACACCCACUGUAAGGUGACCUGGGAGGCUCCUGCAGCUGGGGCUGGUGUCACUGCAGGGCCAGCCGUUCUGCUGGGUGUGUGCUCUGCGGAUAAAUGGGUAAACAGCCCUUGUUACGCUUAUUCAUUCCGCCCGUGUACACAACCUGCUUGUCAUCAGCCGGGAGGCCUCUCUGGGAGGUGCCUUUCCCCAGCACUGCGUUUGGUGUUUGCUGUGGAAUAAAGAAAUAGCAAUUUAUUAUUAUUUUUUUUACAGACUUUCUCAAAUGGAAUCAUGCAGCAAAAGUAGUGCCAAGGGGGAUGUACACAGAGGGCGAUGUGGGGUGCUGGCCUGCUGCUUGCCCCCCAGCUCCCUAGGCUUGCCUCCCAGCCUUGGUCCCAUGUCGUGUGCCUGUAUGCUUCUCACCAGACACUUAAAGUAAUUGGGGAUAUAAAAAAAAUAAAGAGGGGGAGAAGUGACAGCUGGGCAGGGAGAAUUACAGUGAGAUCAGAUUAGAGGUAGCGCUGGGAGGCAAAAUGGAGCCGGGCCUGGGCUGGGCAGCUGGCUCCAUCCCUCACAGCCCAGCCCCAUAGUUGGGUCUUUUCUUCACAGCCUGAACCUAUAGCUGUGACUUUCCCUCACAGCCUGAACCUGUAACUGGGUCUGUAACACUGCCUGGCCCCAUAACUGUCUCCUUUCCCCACAGCCUGGCUUCACAGCUGUGUCCUUCCCUCACAGCCUGAACCUAUAGCUGGCUUCUUCCCUCAGCUGUGUCCCAUAACUGG
rnacentral:lncRNA from 1 species